UGGGUAACCUGCCUCAAAGAGGGGAAUAGCCUCCCGAAAGGGGAGAUUAAUACCGCAUAAUAUGUUUAGGUCGCAUGACUUUAACAUCAAAGGAUUUUCUUUUAGAAAUUCCACUUUGAGAUGGACCCGCGGCGCAUUAGCUAGUUGGUGAGGUAACGGCUCACCAAGGCAACGAUGCGUAGCCGACCUGACAGGGCGACCGGCCACACUGGGACUGAGACACGGCCCAGACUCCACGGG
rnacentral:rRNA from 1 species